AGUGAACGCUGGCGGUAUGCCUAACACAUGCAAGUCGAACGGCAGCACAGUAAGAGCUUGCUCUUACGGGUGGCGAGUGGCGGACGGGUGAGGAAUACAUCGGAAUCUACUUUUUCUGGGGGAAAAAUUUGGGGAAACGUAGCUAAUUACGGAUUACAUCCAACGGCGGAAAGCAGGGUAGUUUCGGGCCUUUCGGGUUUGAAUGGUCCGAUGUCGGAUUAGGUAGUUGGCGGGGUAAGGGCCCACCAAGGCGACGAUCCGUAGCUGGUCUGAGAGGAUGAUCAGCCACACUGGAACUGAGACACGGUCCAGACUCCUACGGGAGGCAGCAGUGGGGAAUAUUGGACAAUGGGCGCAAGCCUGAUCCAGCCAUACCGCGUGGGUGAAGAAGGCCUUCGGGUUGUAAAGCCCUUUUGUUGGGAAAGAAAAGCAGCAGGUUAAUACCCCGCUGUUCUGACGGUACCCAAAGAAUAAGCACCGGCUAACUUCGUG
rnacentral:rRNA from 1 species